rnacentral:rRNA from 1 species
GACCUCGGAUCAGGAGGGA